GGGAGGAAACAGCAUCGUGAGUGGCCUGUCCCGAUGCAGCCCCACCCCCAGUGUGAGGUGGCCCUGAGGGCCUGCAAGGCAGUGGGCUCCCCAAGAGCAAGUGAGGGGGCGGCUCAGGGUUCUGAGGCAGGGCUGUCCUGGGUGGACCCAUUGGGAGAUCCAGCCAGGGCUGCUCGAGGACCCUCGUCCCCGGGAUAGGCCCUUCUCCUAACCAUCCUCCAUGACCUGGGCACACAGGCUCUGGGGGGAGGAAGGUGGGGACACUGGACGGGGCGCCAGGCUGGGUUGUGAGCUCCCUUGUAAUUCUCCAUGCUCUCGGCGGGGCGGCGGGGCUGUAGCUGGCCACCCGCGCAGGGAGGGGCUUGUCCCAACCCCAGAUGUCUGCCUGUGCUCAGUCUGCUGGCCCUCUCCUGGUGGACGGGACGCAGAGCUGUGCCCCUGGCUCUGAGCCCCGAGGGGCAGCCUCCCCCUGAACAGGACCCUGUGGGCGCAAUGCAGGCCUCUCUGCCCACCCACCAAGGACCCUGGGCUCUGAGUGGGGUCCACAGGAUGACACAUGGGGUAGGGUCCAAAAGGCCACCAGCAUCCCAGGCUGUCACCACCCCUCGGACACAGGCUGGCCCUGCCUCCACGCCCUGGGCCCCCACCGUCCCUCAGCGCCCCCAGCACCUGUGCCCUCCACAGAGGUUCGUUUUAAUUACACAACUGGAAAAAACAGGAAGUCAGCUUACCUUACAAAAAGGAAAGGCGAGGCGGGGAGAAGAGGGAGUGAGGAGAGGAGAGAGAGAGAAAACAAGGUGUGUCAGUUCAGGCAGAGCGCAAGUCUGCGCCCGGGACCCGCGGUGCGUCCUGCCCGCCCUGCCCACUGGCCAGGCAAGCGGUGCGGGUUAGAGAAGCGGCGGAGGGCCCGGGCCCCAGGCCGGGAAGGAAGGUGGCACAGCCCCCACCGCCAGCCCCAGAGGCUCCAGCUGGCCAGCCCUGAAGGGAGGUGCUCCUGGUCAGAGGGACAGGGUGGCCCACAGUGGGCCUGGGCCAGAGCCUCCUGUCCGCGAGGAUCCCUGGAGGCCACUGCCUCAGGCCGGCGCAACAGACAGGCUGGACACCUAGACCCAGAGAGGUGUGGGAUCCCCCUGCGGGCAGCGUGAGCACUGCCCGGCCCCCAGACCUGAGGCAGAGACUUGGGGUGUGCUGGCAUCUGCUCAGCAAGCCCUCUGAGGGGGUCCUGAGGCUGCUUCACAUUGAGAAGCUCUGGUGAGGACCCCUAAUGCAGUGAGCAGGUUGGGCCGCGGCCGCUGGGCUACUGCCUGCUGACCACCGUCCUCCCUGUCCAGGUGCCCAGCGCCACCCUCGGGGCUCCUCAGAGGCCCUGCGGGGCCAUCGAGCGGUGCCGUCCUGAGCACGGUUUCAGGUCCCAGCCUCCUGUCUCCACAGGAACCUGUCGAUCUCUCAAGCUUCCCUCCCAGGAUCCACCAGGCAGAGCUGAACCAGCAGCCCGGCUCCUGGCCUGUCCCUCCUCCCACACCCCCCGUGGGCCCCACCCGGGCAGCUGGACUCAGGACACCCUGCAGCCCUGCCCUCUGCGUCCCAGAACCGGAAACACCACCUUCCUGAGGCCACAUGAAACCUCCCCUGGUGGCAACUAAAAUCGGUCAUCCUGUCACUCACCACAGGGGGGGGGACAGGCCAGCCCUGCAGACACGAACUUGGGUCUCCCUGGCCUUCUGAUGAGCACGGCCCCGCGCCUCCCCACUGACCUCGCCUCUGCUCAUCCCCAGCUCCAGCACACAGGGACAGUCCCACUUCCCCUCCAGUGGGAGUCGUCUGAGUUCGUGGAGUCCAGGGACCCUGUCCGAGCUAGUGGACCAGCUGGCCAGACCCAGGGCCUGGAGGAAAGAGGCAUCCAGCCCGUUUUGAAGGCACUUGUCCUGGAGGCUGAGCAGGCAGGCAAGCUGACCCCCACCCUCCAACUUAAGAUGGGCAGGUGUGGGGAGAGCCGCCCCCCAGUGCACGUGGCCUUGGUCAGCGGCAGACCCAGCUGGCUCUGCGUUAGGAUCAGCGCAGGCCCAUGUUGGUCUGAGAGGUCCCGCCGGGGGCCAGCCCAGUGUCCCCUGGCAGAGAUGGGGUCGGUUCUGCCCAGUUCUUCCCUUGAGCAGGAAAGGAAGCCACUGGGUCCGGCUCCCGGUGGAGGCAGGUGGGGACUCUGGGACGGUCCUGAGUCUUAAGAGGGUCCCCUUCAGUCUCUGAUUCUAUAAAAACCUGCAUUCAGACUGCGCCACUCAAGACACUAACAGUUCUGCUCCCUAACCAGCCGCCGCCCCACCCCAGGAUGCAUACGGCCAGCGCCCUGGCCCAGUCCCCAGGCAGACACCUGUGUUCGGCUCGAUUUCCCAGACACCCCUCCCCUUCAACCCGCACCGCGCAUCUGAGUGCAGCUCCCGGGGAGCCGUAUUUCCUUGAGAUUCGCAUCCCUGUCCUGGAGUGACUCCAGGAUCUUGUUGGACUCCUGUCUACACUAGCAGGCUUUCUCAAGUCAAAUGCAUGAUUACCAAGCAGGAGCUGAGGGGGCCGCGGAGGCACACCCGCCCCAGACCCCUUCCAGACAAGCAGAGACGGCCGCCCCGCCCCGCCCACCAGGAGUCCUCAGGGCCAGGCCACCACUGCUGCCACAGCUCUGAGUCCCUCAGUGAAGGCCGCGUGGACCUGACCAGGACCUCGAUGAACAAUGACAUCUCUACAAAGACGUCGGUCUUCCACUGGCCACGGGGUGCUGUGCUGCCCACGGAGAAGCGACGGCCUCGGAACUGAGACCCCAUCUGUGUGUCUACUGGGCUGACUAGCAGGGGAGGUCCCUUAGCCCACAGGGCCAGCCUUUGCCUCAUCCCAUAGCUGGUCACCCAGGGACAGCCAUGCUGGGCUCUGUCCGCAUGCACUGACCCCCCCACCCCCCGCUCCCGGACAGAGCGGCCCCCGGCGCCCAGGCGGAGCCACACAUGCACCGGCCUCAUGCAGCGACGCCCACAUCCACUUGGAGGCCGGAGCCUGGCAGGGAGCUGCUCGGGCACCCGCCUCGGUCCCUGCGCUGGGUGGCAGGGCUUCACCUGGAGCCCCUGAGCUCACGUCCCAACCCCUGCCCCUCCCCUCAGGUGCUUCAGAAAGGCUUGGAAAAUGAGGCAGAUUCAGGACGGGCCUCUGGGGCCUGCCUGCCAGCCGUGUCCGCCCCAAGGAUGACCCUGCCCUGAGUGCCCAGGAGGAGGUGGCUGGGAACGCUGGCUCCUGGUCGAGCAGGCAGGCUGUGCAGCCUGUGGGGUGGGAGUCAGGGUGGACGUGCAGGAGUGAAAGGGCCUGGGCCUGGGAGGACACGGGGCUUCACCCCGGCGCUGCAGCCCCGGGAGCAGCAGAGCCGGACCUCAGCUGCGGCUGCCCACCCUCAGCACGGGCUGGGGCCGUGGGCUCUUGGUGAGGAACGGGGUCCAACAUCCCUGUGGGGUCUGGCUACGGGCACAGUCAGGUACACAGGAGCUGGCCUGGGCCUCUUGGGAGGCCAGCCCCCCACGGCCCAGAGGAGCAGGCUGGCAGAACCAGCGUCUCCCCUCAUGGGUUUGGGACGAGGCGAGGCGCUCCUUGUAGAAAGAACCAAGAGGCCUUCAAAGUCGUUUGAAGGGCAGCCAAAGGCCCCCGGCCCGGUGCUUGCAGGGCAGACACGCAUGUAUGAGACUGGACACCGACUGGCUCUAUAAAACCCCAGCGGGGCAUGAAGACAGGACGCGUCCUGUGAGUGUGGGAGUGACAGCAUGCCCUGGUCUGGCAGCACAGUACCACAGCAAAAGAAACAGGAGGUGCCGGAUGCAAACAAACACAGGAAUGACAGGCCCAGGGACCCACCAUCGGGACAAGAAGAUGACCUAGCCCAGCUUGGAUUGAAGCUGGAGUCAGAGGGCCGGGCAGAGGCCCUGGGCCCCGAGGGUGACAGACACUUCUUUGGAAAGGUCUGUAACCACUUUGCCCAGAGCUGAGCCGAGUGCCAGCUUGAGGAAGAAGCUGGCAGUUGGCAGAGACCCUGGAGGCUGGCCCUUCACCCUCGGCUCUGGUGGCACCAACCCCACCAACACGUGACCUGGGUCCCGCUUGUCCGCAUCUCAGCGGGAGCCCAGAAGGUAAGGUCCUGAGUGGACACGUGCUCACAGACUGAGUUUUAACAACUGCCCCCUCAGCCCUGGAGCCUGGGGGCACUGUGAAGGGCGCGUGCAGACACACCCAUGCGCACACACGCACACACACGCAUGAGACUUCAUGCACGUGUGCACAAGCACGUACACACGCCCCCCACGCACAGUCCCUGGGGCUGGCGCUGCCCGCCCAGGCCUCCUGUUACAGGACAUGCAGGCACAGACGACAGACCCCUGGCACAGAGCGG